rnacentral:lncRNA from 1 species
CAGUAGGGAGACAAGGAGACCAUGAAAGAGGAGUUAUAGCGCAAACACAGCGGUGAGAAAUGAAAGGACACCUUUACAUGUUGCAUUAAAGGCCCCUUUCCUCUUCACAGAGAUGAUCGCGGACUUUUAACUCCCUCAGCUCGCGUGGCAGGUGGGGGGCGAGCGUGGGCACACCGUCUCUCUGAAGUUUCCCUCCGUUGGAAGCAGUGUUUCCUUUAACGCGAGGAAAUUGCUGCUGAAUAUGAAAAGGGGGAAAGAACGUGACGGUAAUGAUGCGGAGCAGGUUCGCUCCUCCGUGGCUAUGCCAAUAAUGGAGUCCCUCGAGUGGGAGUGGGGCUCUGACGUGAGCGCCGCCGGAGGACUCUCGCUUUCUUAGAGGUACUUUUAAUGAGAGCCGACUGUCAUUAUGCCAUUUUCAUUGCUCCUGCCCCCUGUUCUGAGAUACGCGGUCGAGCGCGCCUAAACACGACGCACGCCCCGAAACGGAGUCUGCUCAUCUGGCGCCGCUGGCUUCUGACGCUCGCGAUUCAAGAAAAGAAAAAAAAAAAAAAAAAUAGCGCGACAGAGCAGACGCAGUUUUGCGCCAAAAGCCGGUCGCUGGAACAGAAACGCUCCGCUCGCAACCUUUCCGAAUUUAUUCUCUGAAAAAAGACCGCUGUCGCGUAAGAUGUUAAAACUGACAGAAAAAGAGGUUUGCAAAGCCCGUAAAACUGGUCGGGGGGGCGUAGAAAUAAACUGCUUCUGAGACUCACUCGGUUUGUUGGGGUCUGUCGUGUCGUGGCGCUCGAGCAGCGAGCGCACAGUGAGUGAUUAGAAGGCAGAAUAAGUCUGUGUGCUGAGUGUCUUCGUUUAAAAAAUAAGGGCGAACCCAUGAAAUGUCUCAUGGAAGACAUGAACUCGACAGUAAUGAUUUCUGUCCUUUAUUCUGUCAAGACGUACGAGCGGGAGCGCCGUGUGUCUGCGGGGCUCGUACUACUACGAGCGCUCCAAAUGUGAAACAGCAUGGAUCAGUGGAGGGGAGGAUGCGCUAUUGUUACCGCAGUUUUGUUUGUGUUGCCAUGGCUGCCAUUUGGCUCCGGGGGCCUCUGAUGAUGACUGAACAAGAUGUUCCUAGUCACAAGGCAGCAGGUGACACAGAAGAGCCCUCUGCCAACCCGGCAUCCCCGUCAGUCCCCUCACCCCAUCCGGUCUCCAAGGUGGGGGCCUAG